rnacentral:rRNA from 1 species
AGAGUUUGAUCCUGGCUCAGGAUGAACGCUAGCGGCAGGCCUAAUACAUGCAAGUCGAACGCGUAGCAAUACGAGUGGCGGACGGGUGCGUAACACGUAUGCAACCUACUUCCGGGGAAGGAAUAACAAGAAGAAAUUCUUGCUAAUACCGUAUGAAGCAGCUUACCCGCAUGGGUUGGGCUGUUAAAGGGGCAACCCGCCUGGAAAUGGGCAUGCGUCCGAUUAGCUAGAUGGGGAGGUAACGGCUCACCAUGGCGACGAUCGGUAGCUGGUCUGAGAGGAUGAUCAGCCACACUGGCACUGAGACACGGGCCAGACUCCUACGGGAGGCAGCAGUAGGGAAUAUUGGGCAAUGGGCGAAAGCCUGACCCAGCCAUGCCGCGUGAAGGAUGAAGGUCCACAGGAUUGUAAACUUCUUUUAUCAGGGAAUAAGGCUCAAGUAACUCUUGAGAUUGAAGGUACCUGAGGAAUAAGCACCGGCUAACUACGUGCCAGCAGCCGCGGUAAUACGUAGGGUGCAAGCGUUGUCCGGAUUUACUGGGUUUAAAGGGUGCGUAGGCGGUUUCAUAAGUCAGUGAUGAAAUGUCGGGGCUCAACCCCGUACCUGUUACUGAUACUGCGAAACUUGAGAAUGGAUGAGGUUGCUGGAAUGUGUGGUGUAGCGGUGAAAUGCGUAGAGAUCACACAGAACACCAAUUGCGAAGGCAGGUAACUGGGCCAUUUCUGACGCUGAGGCACGAAAGCGUGGGGAGCAAAACAGGAUUAGAUACCCUGGUAGUCCACGCCCUAAACGAUGGAUACUAGGUUUUACGGAGCAAUCUGUAGAGUCCAAGUGAAAACGAUAAGUAUCCCACCUGGGGAGUACGCUCGCGAGGGUGAAACUCAAAGGAAUUGACGGGGGCCCGCACAAGCGGAGGAGCAUGUGGUUUAAUUCGAUGGUACGCGAGGAACCUUACCUGGGCUAGAAUGCGCGUGACGGAUUCAGAAAUGGGUCUUCUCGUAAGAGCACAAAGCAAGGUGCUGCAUGGCUGUCGUCAGCUCGUGCCGUGAGGUGUUGGGUUAAGUCCCGCAACGAGCGCAACCCCUGUGGUUAGUUGCCAGCACGUAAAGGUGGGAACUCUAAUCAGACUGCCUUCGUAAGGAGUGAGGAAGGAGGGGACGACGUCAAGUCAUCAUGGCCCUUACGCCCAGGGCUACACACGUGCUACAAUGGUUAAUACAGAGAGUCGCAAGCUGGUGACAGUAAGCAAAUCUCACAAAGUUAGCCUCAGUUCGGAUAGGAGUCUGCAACUCGACUCCUUGAAGCUGGAUUCGCUAGUAAUCGCGUAUCAGCAAUGACGCGGUGAAUACGUUCCCGGGCCUUGUACACACCGCCCGUCAAGCCAUGGAAGCCGGGGGUGCCUAAAGUCGGGGGAUAAGAUCCCUGCCCAAGGCAAAACUGGUAACUAGGGCUAAGUCGGAACAAGGUA